UGAAGGGAGCGGAGAGGAGCGCGCGUGAGGGGAGCGGGGCGCCAGUGAGGGGAGCGACCGGGCCCGGGCCAGGCCGGCGUUCCGUAAAGGCUGACUGGAAGCGUACUUGGGGAGUGGUGGCUGCAGACCUGGGCUUUUCACUGUGGCUGUGCGGAACCGUUGCGGUCUGGGAAGGCGAGCUGCGGCCGCCGGAGGCUCGGGCAGGAUGGUGAGAGAGCUGGGACUGCCGGCCGCGGGCUGGGGAUAGAUACCUGUACCCUGAAGAGAAGGAAGUUCCUCUCUUAGUUAAGCUUGCGCUUGAAACCACGACUCUAGGCUUUUUCCGAAGCUAUGUGGAAUUCUGAAAUAACAAUACUGUUUAGCUCUUAGAGUGGGUACUCUGCUUGUGCCUCUUCGUAUGUGUGCGAAUAAGGGCUGCUCUAUCCUUGGCCAUCUUUGCCAGGUAAUUUGUGUAACUUUCUGACACAUUUUACUAUGUCGAGUAUUGAACAAUACGCAUAUCCCACAUGACAGUGCUUUGGGAGCUCUCUAGGUGCUGGGGGUGGCUGUGCAGAGCUGGCUGUCCAGGGCCCGUUCGAGCUCCAGCCCCGGCUCGCUCACACCACGGGUUCUCCUCGGCUCUGCACAGCACAGGCUAACAGCUAAAUUAUCACUGUUCCUGCACAUGGCAAACUACAGACGUGUAGUAGGAAAAUUAUUUGCCACAGCAUGUUUUACUCGGAAGUCCAGGGAUCUGCUAUAUGAACAUGAAAUACUAGUUCUAACUAUGUAAAGGAGAAAUUUGCUAGAGA